UAUGGUGGUGGUGGGAACUAUAAUGAUUUUGGAAAUUAUAGUGGACAACAGCAAUCAAAUUAUGGACCCAUGAAAGGGGGCAGUUUUGGUGGAAGAAGCUCGGGCAGUCCAUAUGGUGGUGGUUAUGGAUCUGGUGGUGGAAGUGGUGGAUAUGGUAGCAGAAGGUUCUAAAAACAGCAGAAAAGGGCUACAGUUCUUAGCAGGAGAGAGAGCGAGGAGUUGUCAGGAAAGCUGCAGGUUACUUUGAGACAGUCGUCCCAAAUGCAUUAGAGGAACUGUAAAAAUCUGCCACAGAAGGAACGAUGAUCCAUAGUCAGAAAAGUUACUGCAGCUUAAACAGGAAACCCUUCUUGUUCAGGACUGUCAUAGCCACAGCUUG